UACGAAGGGGGCUAGCGUUGCUCGGAAUCACUGGGCGUAAAGGGUGCGUAGGCGGGUUUUUAAGUCAGGGGUGAAAUCCUGGAGCUCAACUCCAGAACUGCCUCCGAUACUGAAUGUCUUCGAGUCCGGGAGAGGUGAGUGGAACUGCGAGUGUAGAGGUGAAAUUCGUAGAUAUUCGCAAGAACACCAGUGGCGAAGGCGGCUCACUGGCCCGGUACUGACGCUGAGGUGCGAAAGCGUGGGGAGCAAACAGG
rnacentral:rRNA from 1 species